rnacentral:tRNA from 1 species
GUCGGGAUAGCUCAGUUGGUAAAGCAAAGGACUGAAAA